rnacentral:ncRNA from 1 species
CCAGAAGAGGUGCAUCAUUCAGGUAACGGGUAGUCGACACCGCAGUCAGUGACUAUCCGCAAGGGGAGUGUAUGCCGAGAUUGUGUUGCGGCGGAUGCAACAUGAUCGGCUACGGAGGCUGAAUCCUCUGGGCUGUCACCGUUAUCGGUGGAGCGCUUCUGGGU